GUGGGCGCAGAGGAGUCCUUCUCCACUUGAAAUUGUUUCAAGUUGGACAGGAAACCAAUUAAGAUAGACCCAAUCCCAUUAGGUCAAAGAUAAUCGAUCUAAGUUAGCUCAAACACUUCGAUUUAAACUAAUUUAGGAACUUGGGUUAGUACAAUAUGCUAGCAUAUCUAAUUAAUCCAUAUAAUUUAUAUUAAACUCUAAUUAAAUCAGUUCAAGACCAAAUCUUAAAGUGUGUGACCC
rnacentral:lncRNA from 1 species